rnacentral:rRNA from 1 species
UGGGGAAUUUUCCGCAAUGGGCGAAAGCCUUACGGAGCAAUGCCGCGUGGAGGUGGAAGGCCUACGGGUCGUCAACUUCUUUUCUCGGAGAAGAAACAAUGACGGUAUCUGAGGAAUAAGCAUCGGCUAACUCUGUGCCAG